rnacentral:rRNA from 1 species
GGUCCAGACUCCUACGGGAGGCAGCAGUAGGGAAUCUUCCGCAAUGGGCGAAAGCCUGACGGAGCAACGCCGCGUGAGUGAUGAAGGUCUUCGGAUCGUAAAACUCUGUUAUUAGGGAAGAACAUACAUGUAAGUAACUAUGCACGUCUUGACGGUACCUAAUCAGAAAGCCACGGCUAACUACGUGCCAGCAGCCGCGGUAAUACGUAGGUGGCAAGCGUUAUCCGGAAUUAUUGGGCGUAAAGCGCGCGUAGGCGGUUUUUUAAGUCUGAUGUGAAAGCCCACGGCUCAACCGUGGAGGGUCAUUGGAAACUGGAAAACUUGAGUGCAGAAGAGGAAAGUGGAAUUCCAUGUGUAGCGGUGAAAUGCGCAGAGAUAUGGAGGAACACCAGUGGCGAAGGCGACUUUCUGGUCUGUAACUGACGCUGAUGUGCGAAAGCGUGGGGAUCAAACAGGAUUAGAUACCCUGGUAGUCCACGCCGUAAACGAUGAGUGCUAAGUGUUAGGGGGUUUCCGCCCCUUAGUGCUGCAGCUAACGCAUUAAGCACUCCGCCUGGGGAGUACGACCGCAAGGUUGAAACUCAAAGGAAUUGACGGGGACCC